GAGUUUGAUCGUGGCUCAGGAUGAACGCCGGCGGUGUGCCUAAUACAUGCAAGUCGUACGCACUGGCCCAACUGAUUGAUGGUGCUUGCACCUGAUCGACGAUGGAUCACCAGUGAGUGGCGGACGGGUGAGUAACACGUAGGUAACCUGCCCUGUACAGGGGAUGACAAUCAGAAAUGACUGCUAAUACCGCAUAAGACCACAGCACCGCAUGGUGCAGGGGUAAAAACUCCGGUGGUACAGGAUGGACCCGCGUCUGAUUAGCUGGUUGGUGAGGUAACGGCUCACCAAGGCGACGAUCAGUAGCCGGCUUGAGAGAGUGAACGGCCACAUUGGGACUGAGACACGGCCCAAACUCCUACGGGAGGCAGCAGUGGGGAAUAUUGCACAAUGGGGAAACCCUGAUGCAGCAACGCCGCGUGAGUGAAGAAGUAUUUCGGUAUGUAAAGCUCUAUCAGCAGGGAAGAAAGUGACGGUACCUGACUAAGAAGCCCCGG
rnacentral:rRNA from 1 species